AGUCCGGCACCGCCGUAAGGCGCCCGGAGCCGGGGACCCGACAACGCAACACCGGGGUGAAUCGGCCCGAAGCGGCGUGGCACGCAAGUGCCGCCCGAACACGGCCGUAGGGCAACCUUCCGUACCGCCCGAACCCGACAGCUAACCCGGUAGGCGGUCCACGGAAGGAGCG
rnacentral:sRNA from 2 species